GUGCUUGCUUUGGCAGCACAUAUAUAAAAAUUGGAAUGAUAGAUGGAAGUUUUAGCUUGGCUUCAUGCAAGGAUGACACACAAAUGUUCCAAAUUUUU
rnacentral:snRNA from 1 species